GCACAGAAAAAAUCUGAAAGAGAGCAAGAAUUGAAAAACAAGUUUGAGCAAACUGCCAAGGAGGCUGUUGAUAAAUACCAAGGUGUUAAUUUGUAUGUAAAAAAUUUGGAUGACACCAUUGAUGAUGAAAAGCUCAAGGAACUUUUUGCCGAGUUUGGUACUAUUACCUCAUGCAAGGUUAUGCGGGAUCCAAGUGGAAUCAGCAGGGGGUCUGGGUUUGUUGCUUUCUCUACUCCUGAAGAAGCUUCCAGAGCUCUUUCUGAGAUGAACGGCAAAAUGAUAGUGAGCAAGCCACUCUAUGUUGCACUAGCACAGCGGAAAGAGGAGAGAAGGGCAAAGUUGCAGGCACAAUUUUCACAACUGCGACCAGUGGCAAUGCCUCCAUCACUUGCUCCUCGCAUGCCAAUUUACCCUCCUGGUGCUCCUGGGAUUGGACAGCAACUAUUUUAUGGGCAAGGACCCCCUGCUCUAAUUCCUCCCCAGGCUGGGUUUGGCUAUCAACAACAGCUUGUUCCUGGAAUGCGCCCUGGAGGAGCCCCUAUGCCAAACUUCUUCAUGCCGAUGGUCCAGCAAGGACAACAGGGUCAGCGCCCAGGUGGUCGACGAGGAGCAGGACCUGUGCAACAAUCUCAACAGCCUAUGCCCUUGAUGCAGCAGCAGAUGAUGCCAAGAGGAAGAAUGUACCGCUAUCCACCUGGACGCAAUGUGCCAGAUGGGCCAAUGCCAGGUGUUGCUGGUGGUAUGCUCUCUGUUCCAUAUGAUAUGGGUGGUAUGCUUCCUCGUGAUGCUGCUGCUAUGGGACAGCCUGUGCCGAUCUCUACAUUGGCUACUGCCCUUGCAAAUGCUCCACCUGAGCAGCAGAGGACGAUGUUGGGUGAAAGUUUGUACCCACUUGUUGAUCAGCUAGAGCACGAGCAUGCUGCCAAGGUUACGGGCAUGCUCCUUGAAAUGGACCAGACCGAGGUUUUGCAUCUGCUUGAAUCACCGGAGGCUUUGAAGGCUAAAGUUUCCGAGGCUAUGGAUGUGCUGAGGAAUGUUCAGCAGGCAACCAGCAGCCCGGCUGACCAACUUGCAUCUCUUUCCCUUAAUGACAACCUUGUUUCUUAGUGAAGUCCAAGUGAAUGCCGAAUGCGGUGUUUUUUGAUGGAUGAUCUCCUCUGUAGUGAGGAUAAAACAGAUUUUGCAGGGAUGAGUUUUGAAAAACUGCUAGGGUUUUACUAUCUCAGGAUGUUUUAUCUUGGAUAUGAAUUUUUUUUUCCUUCUGGAUUCUUAAGAUUAUGUUUUAUGUUAUGUGGUCUCAGG
rnacentral:misc_RNA from 1 species